CGGACCCUUGCUGGCAUUCCAUGAUGCUUGACACAGAAGGAAGCUAGAGAUGGCUAUGAGGGUUUGCUGGAACCUUACCAGAGUCAUGUCUCAUGGGCUGUAGGCCAGCCUGUUUCUAACAGAGAAUAUGUCUAUGUUGCCCCCAAGGAUGUGGCUACUUUUCUGUUCCCCAAUGAGGCCAUUGUCCAGAGACGGGAACUAGAGCAUUCCUCUGCUCUGAUUUCCAGGAACGGUGAACGACACCGGGAGUGAUUAGCUGAAACCAAGGAGAGGUCUUUGGGCUCCACCUGCAGAAGAUUCAUCUCGAAAAAGAAAGACCUGUUUCCACAACCGUUUCUGCUUUAUACAUGCCUUUUUCAAAUGCCUUCUAUUUGGGGAAAACCUUUCAGCUUUCAGCCUUUUCCCCUUCGGGCUUCUGACCUCUCACCUACUUUGAAUGAUUCACUGAGGCUAUUCAUUGCCCUGGAAUGUUGGCUUUGGCAAGGGACCGCAAGUCUCUUAAAAUAAACACAACUGCGCUUUCAUCCCACAGAGAUCACUGCUGGCUGCAUAUUUCACACACUGUAUGGCAGGAUAUGUUAAAUUAAAAUCAUAAUCUCCCAAGUGAAAUCCAGGGCCUGGUUAAGCCACGCGAGAAUUACUCAUGCAUUUCCUUCCAAAGAAGUGUAUGAGUAAGAUCUUCAGCCAUUAAGUCUCCCAGGUAAUAGUCUCAUCCCCUCCCAACUAUCCUAGCCCACAGUAAAUGAAACCCGUCCAGAAGGAGGUCAUUCGCAAAGGAAGAAGUCAAUGCCAACACCCUGUGAAAUAGAGUAUCUCGUAGGUUUCUCGCCUACGCAGCGGAGGAUAUUACACUAACCUUCCUGAGCUCACAGAGUGGUUGUCAUGACAGAUAAAGAAGAUAAAGCCGCCGUGUAUAAGACCACCCAUUAUGGCCUAUGAUAAAACAAGCGGGCCAACUUAAGAAGAAUUCAGAAUCCCUUUGAAAGCAGUCAAACCUUCAAAAUUGCCUGAGAUCAGUUCUGGUUUGCUGAAGAUUCUGUAUUCAUUACUGACCGUAUCAGCCACUGGCCAAAGAAGUAAGGUUCCUUUUCAGUUCUAAGAGCCUGGAUAUAUACUUAUUUUACAAGUAAUGAGGUGAAAGGGAAUGAGUCCAGCAUUUCCUUUCUAGCAGUCAAAAAUAGAAUAAUUGGGGAAGGGGAGAUUUAAGCAUAAUUAUCUUAAGCUCCUUUAAAUCACUUCACUCUUUGCAGAACAGCUUGAAGACAUAUCCAGGCUUGUUUGCAUGAUGCUGCUAGAAUAUUACCGUUCUUUCCUAUGAAUCCCUGAAUUCUCUCAACAUCCCCUUGCCAGGGAAACUCUAGGCAUUUAUCAGGAGUCAUGUUGUGUGAUUACCACACUCAUCUUCCUUCACUUCCACUAGCUUACGUUAGGAGACACCUGCUAACAGCCUCCAGAGUAUCUGAUACUUCCCCAGGAACAUUCCUCUCACUGUACAAUGAUUGUUUGCUCAACCUGCUGACGUCUCCAUCACACUGUGGGCUCCCUAAGGGCUGGGCUGUAUCUGUCUUGCUCCCCAUUGUGCAUAAUGUCUGGCACAUAGCACAAUAAGAGCUCCAAAUAGUUUGUGAAUAAAUGGAAUGAGUGUCUUUGCCCUCUCUCCGAGGGCUUAAGUCGCUGGAGGUCAACAAUCCAGCUACGCUAACCAAGUUUCCUUGAUUCAUUUCGGGUCACUAGCUCAAACCUAUCAAGAAAGAAACAGGCGUUUUUGUGCAGCUAACACAGAGGUGCUCACAUAUCCAUUUAUUUGUUUCACAAAUAUUUAUGGAACGCCCUCUAUGGGCCAGGCUUGUGCUAGGUGCUAGAAUAGAAUCGUGAGCAAAACUAGACAAGGCCACUGCCCUCCCGGAGCAUAGAGUUUUAGGAGACAGAUGUUAACAAAUAAUUACGUGAACGAGAAAUCAGAAAUGUGAAGUAAACUAUUAAACUUGCAAAAUUUAGACAGUUAAAUGAUGCCAAGUGUUGUGUGGAUGUAAACAUCUAGAAAUCUUUAUGUUCUAAUGGGGGGACUGUUGUAGACUGGUACAUUCUGGAAACACCUGGAAUUAUACGAUCAACGUAACUGUAUGCAUGCCAUAUGGUCCAGUAAUUGCCCCCAACAAAUUGCUGUAUGGGCCCAAAGGAUAUGGACAAAUAGACAGAUACAUAUUCAUUUCAAUAUUACUUGUGGUGUUGAAGAGUUAGACACAAACUUGCGUCCAACUAGAAGGAAGAAUAGGAAAAAUGUAAGAGAUAUAUUCCAUGAAGAUACCCAAUGGUUGGAAGCUAGAUCAGAGCAAACUGUGGUUGAUGUGUGAAAUAUGGCCCACCUCCUAUUGUUUGGGAUUUUUGUAAA